CCACGAGCAGGUCUUUGCCCUCCUGUCCUCACAGUUAGGGUAGAGCAGUAGGAGCACUGAGUGACAACAGCAAAGCCCCUGCGAGUAGCUCCCAGUUAGGCACUUGAUGGAUGCUGGCCAGUAGUGUCUGAAUCGUCUCGAAACCAUUUAUUCAACGCUCAGCGAAGGCUUGCAUUCCCUUAGACGGUGUGCCUGGGAUCAGACGUGGUCUAGCCUUGGAAUGUUCCAGGCUUUGGAAGAGCUAACGUAUCCAUAAUUAAAUGUGAACAAUCCCUUCAUCGAAUCUCAGUACAUAGGCUGUGAGAGGGCCUCCACUUUGACAUGUCACCACCCGAGAUGCAAGAAAGGACCUGUGGCCUCAUAGCUCUUCCUCUGGUUUCGGGAUCUGGGCGUGUGAGAAGAAGACAGACCAUGAGUCCUAACACCGACCCGAGGACUUCCCUAUAUUCUCAGGGGUGGCCUCUUCCCAAGGACAGGGCUGAAGCUAGUAGUCAGCUGUGAGUGACAUCCUGGAAGGGAGAAAUCAGACAGGAGCCAUACAGGCCAGCAGGACUCCUGCCGAUUUGCUCCCAAAUCACAAGGCCACGGAUGUUCUUCUCCCAUUUCACCCUUGAGAAGAUGCCUUCCCUCAACUCCCUCCAAAAGGACUUCCACCAAUCACAAGCAAGGUCGUUUGUAUUCACAACUUAGUAGAUAAUAAAUAAUACUUACCCCAAGGUAUUAGAAAUGCGAACUGACAAUAAAGCUGGUUCCCGUCUUCUCACACCUAAUUCGAGAAAAAGAGCGCUGGAACAUCAGCCUGUCCGAACAUCCCUCACCAAGUGAAAGCCUGAAACAUUUAUCAAAGCGGGUAGUGAGUUUUCUUUAUCCGACAGCCCAGGCAAGUGCUGGCUGUGGCCGUGGUGAUGGUGAAGCUGGCUGAGGCCCAUCGCCAGCAGCAGCCACAUGCAGCUUCCUUGAGCUUUGGAGGACUAUCUUCGAACAAAGUGUAACCUGGCUCAGAAGGUGAAGAACUGGAGACGUAGGUACAAGCCUGCUUUCGACCUGCAGGCGGUGGAGGUAUGACUGGCUACCCCAGAAAAAAAAUGUUCUCGGUUUGACUCCUCUGCAAGCUCAAGAGAGGUAGCCCAGAAGCACAUGCACUUAGAAUUUCACGGUGCCCACAAGUGUGGGGGAAACAGUUUGGAGCAGCUGAACUUGGUAUCAUUUCUGGGAUGCCAGUUCCCAAGAGAGGCUGGUCAGAAACGAACCAGGGUCCCAGAGCCAACCUGAACUGGACUCCGUAGUGGGUCUGGUUACAGCUUUGGCCCACGUGAACUUGGAGGCUUCCGAGGGGCCUAGCUUCCCGGAGCCUGUUUCUUUUUCUGGAAAUAAUUAGAGUCGCAUUUCUCAUCUCGCCGGGUUGCUGGGAGAAUCGAAUGACACAGACUGGACGCAGGCACUUCCUCCACUCCAAGGUGCUCUAAAAAUAAAAGGCAUUAUUUUCUAAUGAG